UCCAAAAAGGGUGGGAAACUGUGAGGGGCGGGGGCAAAGAAGACUUUAAAAGGGGAGGAAGCGGUGAGGGGCAAAGAUGACUCCGAAAGGGAAGGAGACUGCGAGGGAACACGGGGCAAGAAGAGCCUCUAAAAAUGGAGGGAAAGUGUGAGCGGCAGAGAAGGUACUGAAAGGGCAGGAAAGUGCGAGGGAGGGGGGCAAAAAAAAAAACCUCAAAAAAGGGCAGGGAGUCAUGAGGGGCAAAGAAAGUCCCAAAAGGAUGGGAAAGAAGGCUGUGAAAGGGCGAGAAGAGGUGAGGGGGAAAAGAAGGCUCUAAAAGGGUGAGAAAGAAGGCUUCAAAAGGGCAGGAAACUGUGGGGAGGCAGUGGGCAACAUUUCUGCCCUCAGACCUGCCUCAGGAACAGCACCCAGGUGAUUGUAGAAACAGAACAGAGAACUAUUGCGGCAGCAUGGAGAACAACUUAGGGGAGCACAGAAACAUGAGGGAAGAGGAGGCCCUUUGCUGAUAUACGGGUGUUGACUGAACGGGGUAAAGCAGCCUCGGACUCCACUGGAAAGGCCUUGAAGGAAAUACCUUUCCAGCCAGCAGCACCACUCUUACCUGCUGUGUUGGACCCACACCAGUGCCUCACAUCACAAAGUGCUUCUGGAGACAGACAGGAUGUGGGCUUGUACAGAUUCAGAAUAUUUUGAGCAAUUGAAUCCACUUUGGCUCUAGAUAAAGAUUCUGCAUAGGAGCAAUAUGCCUCUUUCAGGAUGUGUAUGGCCAAACAUCAGAUAGCAGGACCUCUGAUAUCUGGACUGCUUACACACCUUAAAAAUGGUGUUUCUGUAGCAUUUACUCU